rnacentral:lncRNA from 1 species
CAGAAUUACCACAGCUCUCGACAGUCAUGCAUGCCUCACAGAUCUUCUAUCUAUCCAGUGUGUCUACAAGCUGCUAACAUCCACAAAGAAAAAGCUAAGAAUGAAAACAACUGAAGGUUAGGAACUUACUUGAUAGGAAGGCAAGUACUGGACUGGGAGAUGUGACCCGUUCAGCAUGCAUCAAGUCCAAGGUUCAAACUCCAACACCCAAAGGGGUUAGAUAUGACAUUCUCUGCCCUUCUGUUGCUGCAAGCCUCCUGAAAGAACGGUGCUUGAAUACGAGGUGAAUUCUGUGAAAGAAGUAGGUGUAAGAUGCUUCAGUACAUACUGUGGACUGGAAACUCAAUGGGAAAAUGUAGAAACUUCAGACUUACUUACAACCAAGUGACUCUCUUUUGAAAUAAAAUGGAUUUCUCUUAAAAUGACUGGUGAGAGGUAGGCAGAACACUAGGCUUUGGCCUGAGUUCAGUGUUUCUGGGUCCUAACCCUUUAAAAUACACACACACACACACUGAACAGAUCGAAAUGAUAACUUUGCCAAAAGGUCAAAGCUGAGAACUAGAAUAUUUGGAAUUUGGUAUUUUGGGGAAAAAAUAAUGCUAUUGACAGGAUUCUGAACUAACUCAUGAAACAGUUGUUUUUCAGUCUCUGCCUUUCUCCUUGCAAGCUGGAUUCACACAAGAAGGUACCUCUGUUUAUUCUCUCGCACACUACUCUGUCCCACUUGCAGAGAUGUGAAUGCCUGAGGUCUACACAGUCUCGGAUGAACACGUGUCUUCUACCCUCCAGUUCUCUUUUUAAUAUGUUAUUAAAUUAGGAAAAAUCAUGCGUUUUAGAAAAGCAGAGGAUAAACUUUAACUGUACUAAAGUUGUUUGAGAUACUUGCUCAUGGUGUGUAUGGAGAUUUUGUUGUGUUCUCUCAUUUCUCAGUGUUAGAAAACGGGUACGUUUUUAUUUUGAUAUGAUAGAGAAACUAAACUUUAUAUCAGGAGGGGAUUCUUUUGAUAUUUAUACAGUCGAAUACUUUACAAAGUUAAGGAUUUUGUAAUGUCUUAUUAAACCAUAACAUUGUACUCACAAAAAAAGUAUUUGGAAUUUGUUACUAUUAAAAAGUUGUUUCCCAUGGA